rnacentral:misc_RNA from 1 species
AUCCUGGUAGCAAGGAGACGC